GUGUUGUAUAAAAGGAGAGAAGAUUAGCACUGCCCCUGACAAGAAUGGCAGAGCCUCUCAGGCCUGACAAUAUUCAUGUGGUUAAGGCAUUACCACCUACUUCAUGACCUCUAACCACUGUUUUUG
ensembl:snRNA